rnacentral:rRNA from 1 species
CCUACGGGGGGCAGCAGUGGGGAAUAUUGGACAAUGGGGGCAACCCUGAUCCAGCCAUGCCGCGUGUGUGAAGAAGGCCCUCGGGUUGUAAAGCACUUUCAGUGAGGAAGAACGCCUGGUGGUUAAUACCCAUCAGGAAAGACAUCACUCACAGAAGAAGCACCGGCUAACUCCGUGCCAGCAGCCGCGGUAAUACGGAGGGUGCGAGCGUUAAUCGGAAUUACUGGGCGUAAAGCGCGCGUAGGUGGCUUGAUAAGCCGGUUGUGAAAGCCCCGGGCUCAACCUGGGAACGGCAUCCGGAACUGGCAAGCUAGAGUGCAGGAGAGGAAGGUAGAAUUCCCGGUGUAGCGGUGAAAUGCGUAGAGAUCGGGAGGAAUACCAGUGGCGAAGGCGGCCUUCUGGACUGACACUGACACUGAGGUGCGAAAGCGUGGGUAGCAAACAGGAUUAGAUACCCGGGUAGUC